rnacentral:lncRNA from 1 species
CUGCAAAUGCGAACUCAAAGGUGGCUAUCAGGCAUGUGCUCAUCCAAUCUUAACCACCAGGAACAUGGGAUCACGGCCAUCCAUAAUACACACCCUUCUCUUGACCAGAUCAGGUGUAACAAACGUACCAAAUAGUAGCAAAAGCUAAUAAAACUCUACAUCUGACCCUGGACCUCAAUACCCUCCACCCAAACCCCUAAGGUAUAGCUAUUCUCCCCUUUCGUCCCCUCUUUUCUCUCUCUCCCUGACGUUCCCCUCCUCUCUCUUCCAUCUCCUCUUCCUCUAUCCUCUCCUCUUCCACAUUCAUUCUAUCCUUCUCUACUUCAUCCCUUGCCAUUAUCAAGGGAGCUCAAACAACAAAUCAACCACAAAUCAUUCAACGGCCACCUUAGCCUCCGCUUCUGCUACUAUUCCAUCCAGAUCUUUGACCUUAACCCAUUUCUUCAAGAUCUUCGACCUUAACCCAUUUCUUCAAGAUCUUCGACCUUAACCCAUUUCUUCAAGAUCUUCGACCUUAAACCAUUUCUUCAAGAUCUUCGACCUUAGCUCAAUCUCCAACCAAGGUUCAUGUCUCUAGCUAGUAACCCAAGCUUGAUACUAACUCUUACCUUGUCUUCAACCUUGACUUUGUCAUCCUAACUGCCCUAGCACAAUAUCUACCUCUAGUUCAAUCAUCUCCAUCCACAUGAAGAUCAUGCUCACUAGCUUGACCUCUAUCCACAACAUAGAGAUGCCAUACCAAGGCAAACCUAUGGCCAUAGGACCCCAUCUCCACGUACAUAUGCCUCACCCCACCACCAUGGCGGCCCCAAUGCUAGUCGACAACGCAUCAUCAAUAAUGCAAAAUCUUAGCUGAUCCCUUUCGUUUUCUUUUUUUGCUUAGCUUCAAUCAUCAUCCAGGUUCAGGUUGAGUCAUCCAGCUAGACAAAUCCACUUGGUUUCAACCUUCUAAAAUAUACAUAACAUCUUUAAAUAAGUUAUUUGAGGCAAGUCUUGCCUACAUUUCACAUGUCCGAACCAAGGUUUGUCAACUUGAUGCUGGACCCAUACUUGAACCACCUUGGUAUGGUGUCGGUAUGCCCGAUACAGUAGUUGAUUUCAAAUACCGACACUCAAUAUGCCCCCUAUACCACUGUAUUCGACUUGGUACCAGUAUAAUACAGUAUGCACCAGUACUAACUGGUAUAACAUACCAUGGCCCAAACCAUUGUACACAAUCUCACCCCAUUCAUCCUCUAUUAUGCAAUUCCACUUACAGCAUGCUCCAUCUAGUGUAAUUUAACUAUAUAAAUCUACAAUAUGUCCAUCUUUACAAGGUUUAUUUUUUGUAGGCCAUUUUCAUUGUCCAACGUUUUAAUAAUGCAUGUUUCAUUUAAACUCACUCAACAAUCACAUCAUAAAUUAAUUUCAAACAAAUCUCAAAUAAAUGCAAUAACAUUCCACAUCAUGGUCAAGGUUAUUCAACACAAUAAAUUAGCUUCACUAGGCAUUGAAGAACAUCUUUCAACUUGAACUUGGAAACUCCUCAGGCAAGUAACUGAAUGCUUGAGCGACAAUUAUAAACAAGUGAAUUCCCUCAAUAGUUUUAUAGCAAGCAAAUGCUUCUCACCUAGCCUAGCAUGUUAUAAAACUUCCAAACUAACAACUAUAGGAUAAAAAUGUGAAACAUCCCAUUGCAGAUGGCCAAAAUGGCCAUCUAUGUUGUUGCAUGGACAUUUUGGCCAUCUAUAUUGUUGCAAGCAUCGGGGGGUCAUGUUUUAAUGCCUAGAGGUUUAAAGGACCGACCAUACCAUGAUACUACCCCUACCAAUGUACCAAGGCAUGUAUCAUGGAACAUAUCAUACCAUGGAACCAUAUUAACAAACAGAGAGUACCAAGGCAUGAAUUGCGGUUCAUGUAGUACCAUGGAACUAUAUCAAGUCUAAGGGGGUAUACUGCAGUAUGUACCAUCCAAUACAUGACCAAUAUGCCCAUGUAUCGUGGUACUUCAAACUCUAUUGAAUUUCAUUAAACAAGAGUCAACAGUCCGGACUUCUAACUAGUCCUCAUAGAAAAUGCUUUAGACAAAAAUAUGUAGCUAAAUUAAACUCAUAACAAUUAAAAAAUGGUGAUAAAUGCAAUCUAUCAACAAUUGUAGUUUCCCAGCCUCAUAUUUUGCAUUCACAAUGAUCAUAUCAUUCAAAAAAAAUUGCAAAUAUUGGAGCUAAAUCACCACCUUUGUAAAAUGUAAAAACAAAUCAGGAAAACAAGAUUCUCUUCUGGUUGGAUGAUCAGGCGAUAGUAAAUUGAAAAACUGGAACACAACUGUUCUACUUCACUAAAUAACUCCAAAAGAUAAUGUAAAUUAUGUAAUUUAAGUUUCUUACAACAUUUUUCUCUUCUACAUACAUAGAUCACUAUUGCACAAGAAUACAUCAAAAUCUUAGCAGUCAGAAGUAGAAAUUUCCAGCCUCAAACAAC